GGGAGGGGAGGGUGAGAGUCAACACAGUGCAUUUUUCCUGGGUUUCCCUAGAUCCUAAACUAGGAGAGCUGUUGGUGCAGAAGCUCAUUGAUAAAUAUCAAGAGAACAAUUACAACAUGGUUGGUCAAGUUUAAUGAAGUAUUGGCCAGCCCCCCCUAUAUUUUUAGAGUGAUUGGUUCACCAUUUUUAUUUUAGUACCUUUGUUGGCUUGGAUGGCUGACUAGUCACA
rnacentral:lncRNA from 1 species